UACGUAGGUGGCAAGCGUUGUCCGGAUUUACUGGGCGUAAAGAGUGCGCAGGCGGUUCAUCAAGUCGAAUGUGAAAGCCCCCGGCUUAACUGGGGAGGGUCAUUCGAUACUGCUGAACUUGAAGGCAGGAGAGGGAAGUGGAAUUCCCGGUGUAGUGGUGAAAUGCGUAGAUAUCGGGAGGAACACCAGCGGCGAAGGCGGCCAUCUGGACGGAUACUGACGCUGAGACGCGAAAGCGUGGGGAGCAAACAGG
rnacentral:rRNA from 1 species